GGGCCAAAGAAAACAGAAGCAGCUGAGGCAGCUUCGCCCAGGCAGUGACUGGCGUUCUGUCUCUCCCCAGUGCCUGUUAAAAAGACCAGAGUCUUUUAAAAGUGAUUUCGUGGUCGCUCUUUCCCCUCCUCCUCGCUCUCUUUUCUGGGGGGUUUGGUCGCUCUCAGUACCGGCUGGGCAGCUCUUACCUGCCAGCCUUCCCCACCCUGCCCUCUCCAAAACGGUCGGUGGUUGUGGCUUUUCCCACCCAGUCUGUGUGGUGCCUCCCUCGGGCUGGGUGAUUAGUUGCUUCAAGUUAGAGCCACAGUGGGGAGUGGGGUUUUUUUUUUAAUCAAUCCACCCUUCUUGCUCCCUAAUUGUCUCAGUGCUUUAUAGAACUCUUAAGAAUCUUACUCUACCAUAAGGUUUUGUUUUGUUUUGAAGGGAGAGAAAUUGUAUGCUUGUUCAGAGUGCUUGUGUAGUCCUAAUUUUUGAGAAAUAGUGGUUUGAAGGCUGUGUGUCCUUCCUUGCCAUCGCAGCCUGGAAUACCCACUCCAUGGGAAGCAAGGACGGAAAGCAGCUCUCAACUAAUCACUGACUGGGAGGUGCUGAGGGGCUAGAAGCCCCUUCCCCAGUAUUGGCCUUGCCCCUGCGCUGACGUCAGACGCAAGGGGCGGGGCUUGGUGACGCGCACGCAAUUGAAAAAUGGGCAUCAGGGACUAGCUCGGCCAAGAGCGCUACAACCCCUUGAGCCGGCACUGGGAGGCACCACUGAAUACCCAGGAAGGGGAGCCCAGCAGGUUGGCGAUCGAUCGUGUUCCAAAAUUGUGCCCCGGCCGGUGGAACCCAGAAUCCACAUGGGAAGCGGGCACUUAGCCUGGUACAAUUUCUCUAGCAACUCAGAGAUGCCAUAUGAGAAAAGAGGAAACCAUGCAGCCCGGCCCUAUGUGAGUUUAUCUAGAAGAAUGCCAUGUUCAUUGGUGCUUACUCUCCAGUAAACGUGCACAACUGCAGCUUUAAUCGUACUGAUGAAACUGCCUCUCUCUGAUCAGGCUCUUGGCUAUUGCUGAAGUGAUACUGUUGAUAUGGUGAUAUUGGUCCAGUGGAAAUGUAAACAGUGAACAGAAUGAAGUAAAAGUCCUAUCAGUCAAAGCACAGAAUACCUAAUAUACAAAGUCUGCAUUUUUGUUGUAUAUUUCCAAAAUGUUUAACACAUAAUCUAGUUGUAGCAACUGCAGCUAAUAUUCUUAAACUAUAGUUACUGAUAAUGCAGCCCCUUCCUAUUUUAAAUAUCCUGUUUCAAAUAUUCUAUUUGAUAUCUUGACAACUGGUGCAUCUUUUGAAAUUACUUUUUUUUUUUUUUAAGAUCAGUGUGAUCACAAUUAUAUACUACUUAGGUGUCCUCACACAGUAGCUCCUAAGUAGUACUAUUGAAUAAUUUAGUCAGGAUGUCAGCAAGUAAAAGCUAAUUGUUAUUACACAGAGGUGUUGUUUGUGAAUGAUGUUUCCCCUUGCUGCUGUUUUUAUUUUGGGAAUUUGUGCUGGUUAGCUUUUUAAAAAAUAAAAAAAGCUUUAAAAAUA